CCCUGCCCCCGAUUGAAGCGAAAAACCCGGAGUUCUGGGAGCAUCAUAACACUUGCCCGGAAAGAGCGACCAACGGAAGCUCCUUUCCGGGCUUAGUGUCAUUGCUUCCAGAAUGAGGAUUUGAAGCGAAAAGCGGGAUUAGGC
rnacentral:snRNA from 1 species